UACAGAGGGGGCAAGCGUUGUUCGGAAUUACUGGGCGUAAAGAGUGUGUAGGCGGUGUUCUAAGUUUGUCGUGAAAUCUCCCGGCUUAACUGGGAGGGUGCGGCGAAAACUGGAAUGCUAGAGGAUGGGAGAGGUAAGCGGAAUUCCUGGUGUAGCGGUGAAAUGCGUAGAUAUCAGGAGGAACACCUGUGGUGUAGACAGCUUACUGGACCAUUUCUGACGCUGAGACACGAAAGCGUGGGUAGCAAACAGG
rnacentral:rRNA from 1 species